UGUAAAAAAAAUUUAUCUAUUGAUAUUGUUAAAAACUGGUGUGGCUAAUAAAUAAUCAAAUAUUAACAAGUGGUGUGCUAUACGUACCUCAUGCUGAUGUAUAUGAACCAAUUUUUAACGGUACGAAUGGAUGAAAUUUUUAAUA
rfam:Gossypium raimondii Chr04_contig_781, whole genome shotgun sequence.